CCAUAUAUAGCAGUAGGCUUCCCUACAGAAAAAAACAAACAAGUCUAAUCUUCAGUUUUGCAGAUUGUUAAGAGAAACAAAAGACAAUAUUUCAGUCUUCCACCACCCUGCCUAAAAUCUUACAUUCAGGAAGAGAGAUAACAUUAACCCUUUCCUUCAGCUUGCAUUGUGGAUGUGCUGGACUAAUUUAACCCUUGCAGGCUGCAUGGGAACCUGGGCUUGCUGAGCACUGAGUACAUGGACCAGAUCCUG